rnacentral:rRNA from 1 species
AGCGAACGCUGGCGGCAGGCCUAAUACAUGCAAGUCGAACGGUCUCUUCGGAGGCAGUGGCGGACGGGUGAGUAACGCGUGGGAAUAUGCCCUUUGGUACGGAACAACUGAGGGAAACUUCAGCUAAUACCGUAUGUGCCCUUCGGGGGAAAGAUUUAUCGCCAUUGGAGUAGCCCGCGUUGGAUUAGGUAGUUGGUGGGGUAAAGGCCUACCAAGCCUACGAUCCAUAGCUGGUCUGAGAGGAUGAUCAGCCACACUGGGACUGAGACACGGCCCAGACUCCUACGGGAGGCAGCAGUAGGGAAUCUUGCGCAAUGGGCGAAAGCCUGACGCAGCCAUGCCGCGUGAAUGAUGAAGGUCUUAGGAUUGUAAAUUCUUUCACCGGGGAAGAUAAUGACGGUACCCGGAGAAGAAGCCCCGGCUAACUUCGUGCCAGCAGCCGCGGUAAU